rnacentral:rRNA from 1 species
AGUGGGUGUAACGUACCUACUAGCCGACGACGGGUACGGGUUGUGAGAGCAAGAGCCCGGAGAUGGAUUCUGAGACAUGAAUCCAGGCCCUACGGGGCGCAGCAGGCGCGAAAACUUUACAAUGCGGGAAACCGCGAUAAGGGGACACUGAGUGCCAGCAUAUUAUGUUGGCUGUCCGCAUGUAUAAAUAGCAUGUGUUAGCAAGGGCCGGGCAAGACCGGUGCCAGCCGCCGCGGUAACACCGGCGGCCCGAGUGGUGGCCACUAUUAUUGGGUCUAAAGGGUCCGUAGCCGGUUUGAUCAGUCUUCCGGGAAAUCUGACAGCUCAACUGUUAGGCUUCCGGGGGAUACUGUCAGACUUGGGACCGGGAGAGGUAAGAGGUACUACAGGGGUAGGAGUGAAAUCUUGUAAUCCUUGUGGGACCACCAGUGGCGAAGGCGUCUUACCAGAACGGGUCCGACGGUGAGGGACGAAAGCUGGGGGCACGAACCGGAUUAGAU